AUGGCCUGGCAGAUGAUGCAGCUGCUCCUUCUGGCUUUGGUGACUGCUGCGGGGAGUGCCCAGCCCAGGAGUGCGCGGGCCAGGACAGACCUGCUCAAUGUCUGCAUGAACGCCAAGUACCACAAGACACAGCCCAGCCCCGAGGACGAGCUGUAUGGCCCAGUGCAGUCCCUAGAAGAAGAAUGCCUGCUGCAUGACCAACACCAGCCAGGAGCUGCACAAGGACACCUCCCGCCUGUACAACUUUAACUGGGAUCACUGUGGUAAGAUGGAGCCUGCCUGCAAGCGCCACUUUAUCCAGGACACCGGUCUCUAUGAGUGCUCACCCAACCUCGGGCCCUGGAUCUGGCAGGAACCAGAGCUGGCGCAAAGAGCGCAUUCUGAACGUGCCCCUGUGCAAAGAGGACUGUGAGCGCUGGUGGGAGGACUGUCGCACCUCCUACACCUGCAAAAGCAACUGGCACAAAGGCUGGAAUUGGACCUCAGAUUAAUGAGUGUCCGGCCUGGGCCCUCUGCCACACCUUUGAGCCCUACUUCCCCACUCCAGCUGCCCUUUGUGAAGGCCUCUGGAGCCAUUCCUUCAAGGUCAGCAACUACAACUACAGCUGAGGGAGUGGCCGCUGCAUCUAGAUGUGGUUUGACUCAGCCCAGGGCAACCCCAGUGAGGAGGUGGCCAAGUUCUAUGCUGCGGCCAUGAAUGCUGGGGCCCCGUCCCAUG
rnacentral:lncRNA from 1 species